CUUGGUCAUUUAGAGGAAGUAAAAGUCGUAACAAGGUAACCGUAGGUGAACCUGCGGUUGGAUCAUUAUAAAUGAACUAUUUUAAACGGUUGAUAGAAUAUACUUUAGUAUUUUCUCCUGUUUAAAAUAUUUAACCAUUGUGCACUGUAAUUUGUGAAUUCGGCUUUAUAAUUUUUGAAAUCGUGCAUAGUUUGGCUUUAAAUUUAUUUUAGAGCGUAGGCCAGUUAAAGGAAUAAAAUUAUAAAGUCGGCAGUAUUUAAACCCAACAUUAACAUUGACUUAAUUUUUUUUCGUAUGAAAAUAUAAAAAGAAACAACUUUUGACAACGGAUCUCUUGGCUCUCGCAACGAUGAAGAACGCAGCGAAAUGCGAUAUGUAAUGUGAAUUGCAGAAUUCCGUGAAUCAUCAAAUCUUUGAACGCACAUUGCACUCUAAUUUAUUAGAGUAUGCCUGUUUGAGAAUCUAUAGUACCAUAUUAUUUUAGGAUUUUUAAUUUAAUUAACAUUGUUAAUUUUAUUUUGCCUAUUAUAAUGAUUUGCUGGUUAACUUUGAAAAAAGUUUCCGGUUAAAACUAUAGCUUUAAAACUGAAUGUUAAUGUUUGAGUUAUUAUUUGAUUUUAUAGAAAAGUUUUUGAAUGUAAUCGCAAGUUACUCUAGAAGCCCAGUAAAUAAAUUUUCGGUAUUAAUGAGUUACAUUUUGGUAAUAAAGUUCAUAACCUUUUAAUAAGUUUUUUAAUCUGAAUAAGAUUUUAGAAUUUAUGAACCAUGGUCUCAAAUCAGGUAGGAAGACCCGCUGAACUUAAGCAUAUCAAUAAGCGGAGGAAAAGAAACUAACAAGGAUUCCCCUAGUAACGGCGAGUGAAGCGGGAACAGCUCAAAUUUGAAAUCUCAUUAUUUUAUAAUGCGAAUUGUAGUUUAAAGAAACAUUUUCGGGGUAAGAGGUCAGUACAAGUUCUUUGGAACAAGACAUCAUAGAGGGUGAAAAUCCCGUCUACGACUGAUUAUUUUAUUCUAUGUGAUAUGUCUUCUAAGAGUCGGUUUGUUUGGGAAUGCAGACCAAAAUGGGAGGUAAAUACCUUCUAAAGCUAAAUAUUGGCGAGAGACCGAUAGCGAACAAGUACCGUGAGGGAAAGAUGAAAAGAACUUUGAAAAGAGAGUUAAACAGUACGUGAAAUUGUCAAAAGGGAAACGCUUGAAACCAGUAUUGAGAAUGAUAAUUCUAGUAUAAUUUAUUAUACCUUAUUUUAUUAUUUUCAAGUCAAUAUCAGUUUGAUUUGAAGUAAAAAGCUAUGGGAAGGUAACCUUUUAGGUAUUAUAGCUCAUAGUUAUGCUUUGGAUUAGACUGAGGACUGCAGCUUUUUUUGGAGAACCAGUCGCUUUUGGAAAUAUCAAAGUUAAAUGCUUGCAGAUAACUUUGUUUAUGAAGAAAUACGGUUGGUGUAUCACACCAAAGCUUAGGAUAUUGACGAAAUGGUUUUAAACGACCCGUCUUGAAACACGGACC
rnacentral:rRNA from 1 species